CCGGAAGUCGCUAGUUACUCUCAAACUCAGCGCGCUGGAAAACUGCAGCUCCCUCUUUAGGCGCCCUUCGUCGCAAAGCCGAAAAUGGCGGACUCCUCAGUCACUGUGCGGACCAGGAAAUACAUGACCAACCGCCUGCUAUGCAGGAAACAAAUGGUGGUGGACAUCAUCCACCCGAACCGGGGCACCGUCUCCAAGACCGAAGUUCGGGAGAAGCUGAGCGCCAUGUACAACACCACCCCGGAUGUGGUGUUCUGCUUCGGCUUCAGGACCCAGUUCGGAGGUGGCAAGACCUCCGGCUUUGCCCUCAUCUACGACACACUGGACUUCGCCAAGAAGUUUGAGCCAAAGUACCGGCUGUGCAGGAACGGUCUUGGUGAGAAGGGGCGGACAGGUCGCAAGCAGCGCAAGGAACGCAAGAACAGGAUGAAGAAGGUUCGUGGCACGAAGAAGGCCAAGGUUGGAGCAGCAGCCGGCAAGAAGCGCUAAGCUGGGGUCGCUUGCUCUGCCUUCUUGCUGGCUUUCGCUGGUGUGGUGCUUCGAAAGUAACACCGGGGAAGGAUGGCUGUGACACAUGUACAUUUGGGUCAUCUUCAAUAAAUGUGGAGCACAACUCGA